rnacentral:tRNA from 2 species
GUGACGGUAGCUUAAUGGUAGAGCGUUGCGUUGUGGUCGCAAUGGUUGCGGGUUCGAGUCCCGUUCGUCACCCC